ensembl:lncRNA
GAAGCAUGUGACAAAUAAAAUGUUAUUUGAGUGUACGUCAAAACUUUUUUUCAAGUUAUUGAUGAGCAGCCAGUUACGAGGUACCAAUAACAGUCUAUAGCCUACAGUUACCCCUUUGGCAGCCUACUUCCCAUAUCAUUAUUAGGUUCAAAAGGCAUGGCUAUGAUUUGAGCACUGUGACCGUUUUGUAAGUCACAGUGAGGUCCGAGACCUUGGAUGCCGGCGUUUGUUUGUGCUGCUUUUAAAAUUCCUAACGGUUGGCAGGUCUGUAUAUCAAAAAACACAAAGGACAGGAAGUGCUAGUUUGCUUUUAAAGACAGUUGGGAUGGGCUAACUAUUGGUUCAUUACAAUCUGAGUGACAACAACAUAGUGGAGUGGAAGUUGCCCCGUCUGGGGUCGGACAUAAGAGUAUCCCACUGGUCAAGGGUGGAUUUUGCUGUAUGGUAUUCUGAUAAUAAAUAUUUUGUAAAGAGCAACCUAACCUGUAUCAGUGACAGAUGGAAAUAUUAAUGAAAGAGGUGCAUUCUGGGAUUGUUUUUAUGAAGUAAUCAUGGUUACUGUAGUUUGUGUGCACAGUGUACACAGACAGACAACCGUAUGGUCAGGCGUUUUUACAGCAUGGCAUUACACUAGCAAAGAUUGACCAAAACAGGUAUUAAGCAAAACACAAUAGAUGACAACAUCCUCUAAACCUUUGUGUACUUUUACACUUUGUUUCUGCUGUUUGUUCUGCAUUAGUUCACUGAAAUGGUGUAGAGAAUACUGUACAUAUUAGAAUGUAUGUAGUUAAUUACUUUUGACCAAAACGUGUCCCCUUGGUGACCCUGUCAAUCAAGGGCUGUUGGUUUCUAGGAAAGACAAUUAUCAAGAACUGGGUCCUAUUCUUUCUUUCCAUUAUUCGUUUUUUUAUUACUUUUUUAUUAUAUAUAUUUUUUUCUCUCUAGCACUUAACACUACCCAAACCAAUGCUCUAACCACAUAUCUAGUGCAGAAUUAACAGUUAAAAAGUGCUUUUAAAUUGUAUUCCAUUGCUUUCAAAUGUGCCACUUAAUGUCUACUAGGAGUUUAAAUUAUUUUACGAAGGAUAAAUGCCAAAAUAAGGG